rnacentral:lncRNA from 1 species
AUAUGUUCAUUACUUUUUUUUAGGUCCUAAGAGAUACAAGAAGUUCAAAUCCAUACCCAAUAAAGAAUAAUCAGGAUUUUGUGUGUGAAAGGGCAGGAAAACACUCUCCUGCCCUGUGUGAAGAAGAGUGGUCUUGAACUAUCUGUCUUAAAGAGCAGGAUAAAGGAGCAUCAGGUAGAUAAAUCACCAAUGCCCUCUCUGUGUGACUUGUAGCAGGUCCAAGAGGUACCUUCCACUUCUUUUAUUGACCAUGAAUUGUCAAAACACAUGUGAACUACAGCGCGAUUCUGAAUCAGGGCGAGAGCGGAGGAUGAAGCCUUCACCUUCUUAGGAAGAAGAUGAAGCCAAUAAUCCAGAGGUCACCUGGGAUGUGGGCCUUCUGAUUUAAGGGCUUCUUUUGGGUCAGGCCUUGUCUCAUCUGGACUACCCUUAAAGAGAAUACAAACCUACAUCCUAAAAAUGUUCUCGCCAUUUGCCUGCAUACGUUGGUAGAACUGACGCUUUGGAGCAAUUACCAGAGUCUAAAGGUCACAGCACAGAAAGCUAAGCCCUAUACUGCUGAAAAACUAUGUUUCAGCUGUUAUCAGCAGGAUGAUCUUUGACAUGAGUUAUAUCAGUUCUGGUAAUUUUUAUUCCGAGAUGUAAGAGUGAUACGCAUGACUUCUUAAAAUAAAGGUGGCUUAUUCAAAUAUACA